rnacentral:rRNA from 1 species
UACGGGGGGGGCAAGCGUUGUUCGGAUUUACUGGGCGUAAAGCGCACGUAGGCGGAUUGUUAAGUCAGGGGUGAAAUCCUGGAGCUCAACUCCAGAACUGCCUUUGAUACUGGCAAUCUCGAGUCCGGAAGAGGUAAGUGGAACUCCUAGUGUAGAGGUGGAAUUCGUAGAUAUUAGGAAGAACACCAGUGGCGAAGGCGGCUUACUGGUCCGGAACUGACGCUGAGGUGCGAAAGCGUGGGGAGCAAACGGG